rnacentral:rRNA from 1 species
GAUGAACGCUGGCGGCGUGCCUAAUACAUGCAAGUCGAGCGAACCACUUCGGUGGUGAGCGGCGAACGGGUGAGUAACACGUAGGUGAUCUGCCCAUCAGACGGGGACAACGAUUGGAAACGAUCGCUAAUACCGGGAUAGGACGAAAGUUUAAAGGUGCUCCUGGCACCGCUGAUUGGAUGAGCCUGCGGCGCAUUAGCUAGUUGGUAGGGUAAUGGCCUACCAAGGCGACGAUGGGUAGCUGGUCUGAGAGGAUGAUCAGCCACACUGGAACUGAGACACGGUCCAGACUCCUACGGGAGCA